rnacentral:rRNA from 1 species
CCCUUAGAUGUUCUGGGCCGCACGCGUGCUACACUGAGUGGAUCAGCGGGUCAGGUUGCGCGAAAGCAUUUCCUAAUCUUGAAAUCCGCUCGUGAUGGGGAUUGACGGUUGCAAUUUUCUGUCAUGAACGAGGAAUACCUUGUAAGCGCGAGUCAUCAUCCCGCGCUGAAUACGUCCCUGCCCUUUGUACACACCGCCCGUCGCUCCUACCGAUUGAGUGGUCCGGUGAGGCUUUGGGAUCUGAGCGGAAAGAGCGUUUCGCUCGUUCUGCCCGGAAAACUCAGUCGAACCUUAUCAUUUAGAGGAAGGAGAAGUCGUAACA